rnacentral:tRNA from 1 species
GCCUAGCUGGCUCAGUCGGAAAAGAGUAUGACUCUUAAUCUCAGGGUUGUGAGUUCGAGCCUCACGAUGGGUG